UAUGUACAUGAAGGCAGAGUAAAGUGACUAGGCAUCAGGAUAGAUAAUAAUAAGGUAUUUGAGGUAGAUAUGUACAUGAAGGCAGGGUAAAGUGACUAGACAUCAGGAUAGAUAAUAAUAAGGUAUUUGAGGUAGAUAUGUACAUGAAGGCAGGGUAAAGUGACUAGGCAUCAGGAUAGAUAAUAAUAAGGUAGUUGAGGUAGAUAUGUACAUGAAGGCAGGGUAAAGUGACUAGACAUCAGGAUAGAUAAUAAUAAGGUAUUUGAGGUAGAUAUGUACAUGAAGGCAGGGUAAAGUGACUAGACAUCAGGAUAGAUAAUAAUAAGGUAUUUGAGGUAGAUAUGUACAUGAAGGCAGGGUAAAGUGACUAGACAUCAGGAUAGAUAAUAAUAAGGUAUUUGAGGUAGAUAUGUACAUGAAGGCAGGGUAAAGUGACUAGACAUCAGGAUAGAUAAUAAUAAGGUAUUUGAGGUAGAUAUGUACAUGAAGGCAGGGUG